rnacentral:rRNA from 1 species
UACGUAGGGUGCAAGCGUUGUCCGGAAUUAUUGGGCGUAAAGAGCUCGUAGGCGGUUAGUCGCGUCUGCUGUGAAAACUCGGGGCUUAACUCCGGGCCUGCAGUGGGUACGGGCUGACUAGAGUGCGGUAGGGGAGACUGGAAUUCCUGGUGUAGCGGUGAAAUGCGCAGAUAUCAGGAGGAACACCAGUGGCGAAGGCGGCUCACUGGCCCGAUACUGACGCUGAGGCACGAAAGCGUGGGGAGCAAACAGG